rnacentral:rRNA from 1 species
UAAAAACCCCGACUUCGGAAGGGGUGUACUUAUUAGAUACAAAACCAAUGCCCUUCGGGGCUCUUUGGUGAUUCAUGAUAACUAUACGAAUCGCACGGCCUUGCGCCGGCGAUGGUUCAUUCAAAUUUCUUCCCUAUCAACUUUCGAUGUUUGGGUAUUGGCCAAACAUGGUUGCAACGGGUAACGGAGGGUUAGGGCUCGACCCCGGAGAAGGAGCCUGAAAAACGGCUACUACAUCCAAGGAAGGCAGCAGGCGCGCAAAUUACCCAACCCCGACUCGGGGAGGUAGUGAAGUAGAUACUGCUAUAGGGACCUUUAUGGACCCAAUUUGGCCUUAAGAAUUAUUUAAGUUCCAUUUAGAACCCUUAACAAGGGACUUAUUGGUGGCAAGUCUUAUGUAUGAAACUGAUAUAAUACCGCUCCAUAAAAGAAUUCUAUCAUAAAUGCAAUAUUAAACACGAGGCUCAAAAAAUAGCCGAAAAAAGAGGAAAAAAAAAAAUAAAAAAUACAAUUUAGCCUAUCAAAAUAGAGUAUAAAAAAAAAAAAAAUACAAUAAGUAAAAGAGCAGUAAAUAAA